rnacentral:rRNA from 1 species
GCUUAACACAUGCAAGUCGAACGGAAAGGCUCUUGCUUGCAAGGGUGCUCGAGUGGCGAACGGGUGAGUAACACGUAAGUGAUCUGCCCUGCACUGGGGGAUAAGCUUGGGAAACUGGGUCUAAUACCCUAUAGGACCGCAUCGUGGUUGGUGUGGUGGAAAGGUUUUUCUGGUGUGGGAUGAGCUUGCGGCCUAUCAGCUUGUUGGUGGGGUAAUGGCCUACCAAGGCGGCGACGGGUAGCCGGCCUGAGAGGGUGUGCGGCCACAUUGGGACUGAGAUACGGCCCAGACUCCUACGGGAGGCAGCAGUGGGGAAUUUUGCACAAUGGGCGGAAGCCUGAUGCAGCGACGUCGUGUGGGGGAUGAAGGCCUUCGGGUUGUAAACUCCUUUCGUCAGGGACGAAGUUUUUUUGACGGUACCUGGAUAAGAAGCACCGGCUAACUACGUGCCAGCAGCCGCGGUAAUACGUAGGGUGCGAGCGUUGUCCGGAUUUACUGGGCGUAAAGGGCUCGUAGGUGGUGUGUCGCGUCGUCUGUGUAAUCCAGGGGCUUAACUUUUGGUUGGCAGGCGAUACGGGCAUUGCUUGAGUGCUGUAGGGGAGACUGGAAUUCCUGGUGUAGCGGUGAAAUGCGCAGAUAUCAGGAGGAACACCGAUGGCGAAGGCAGGUCUCUGGGCAGUUACUGACGCUGAGGAGCGAGAGCAUGGGUAGCGAACAGGAUU